UGAGGCACAAAGCAGUUAAGUGAUUUGAGCAAGGUCACACAGCAGACAAGUUCUGCUGAUGGUUCAGGCUUCAAAAAGGGCUAAUAAAUCACAAGGACCCUACUUUGGGUUUCUUCAGGUCUGUGGGGUGGUUGGAGAAGCAAGCCUGGAAGUGCAAUUUAGAAAAGGUUGGGAUGGGGAGGGGUGGGUAGUCUUACCCCCAUCGAGCAAGGCGCCUGUGAGGAAAGCAGGAGCAGCUGAGGUGGGAUUUGCUGCCAUCUGAUUGCAAAUGAUUAGCACCUGGGCAGGAGAGCAAAUAGCUUGGCUGAGAGGUGAUUGCAAUUGUUCAGCAGCUGGGCAGGAGAGCAAACAGCUUUGAGGCUGCAGGAAAGAGGGCUGGGUGCAGUUGGGUCUGCCAGUUGACCGUCGGCAACGGUUAGGGGUUUUGGAUGACCGUAGGCAAAGGUUAGGUGUCAUGGACCCUGCCCCCGGACCCCCGGCCUGCUCCUGGACGAGGCCACUGCCAGGACCGGUCUACACCCGUGGACGAGAGGACCACUCAGUCAAUCCCAGGCACGUGCGCCCCUGUGGAAAUGCCCUCUCUGGAACAGGACUUUAUUGCGGCCAAACGUUUUGGUGAGGAUGUUUCAGGAAAACAGUGUGGCCUCGUGGGACGACCCCAGCCUAGAGCGACAGCAGGCCCAGUGUAUUUUGUGGUGCCUCUGUUUCCUCAUGAUGGAUGGAGCAACAAAAUCGGAGCAGAAGACAGCCCUUGCAAAGGGAAUGAUGAGAAUCUGUGGAAUUAACGGCAUCAUUUUUCAUUUCGGUGACCAGAAUCCAUC
rnacentral:lncRNA from 1 species